CAAUGGCAUAAGCUAGCUUGACUGCGAGCGUGACGGCGCGAGCAGGUGCGAAAGCAGGUCAUAGUGAUCCGGUGGUUCUGAAUGGAAGGGCCAUCGCUCAACGGAUAAAAGGUACUCCGGGGAUAACAGGCUGAUACCGCCCAAGAGUUCAUAUCGACGGCGGUGUUUGGCACCUCGAUGUCGGCUCAUCACAUCCUGGGGCUGAAGUAGGUCCCAAGGGUAUGGCUGUUCGCCAUUUAAAGUGGUACGCGAGCUGGGUUUAGAACGUCGUGAGACAGUUCGGUCCCUAUCUGCCGUGGGCGCUGGAGAAUUGAGGGGGGCUGCUCCUAGUACGAGAGGACCGGAGUGGACGCAUCACUGGUGUUCGGGUUGUCAUGCCAAUGGCACUGCCCGGUAGCUAAAUGCGGAAGAGAUAAGUGCUGAAAGCAUCUAAGCACGAAACUUGCCCCGAGAUGAGUUCUCCCUGAGACUUUAAGUCUCCUGAAGGAACGUUGAAGACGACGACGUUGAUAGGCCGGGUGUGUAAGCGCAGCGAUGCGUUGAGCUAACCGGUACUAAUGAACCGUGAGGCUUAACCUUACAACGCCGAAG
rnacentral:rRNA from 1 species